GAUGAACGCUGGCUACAGGCUUAACACAUGCAAGUCGAGGGGCAGCAUGCCGGUUGCUUGCAACCGGUGAUGGCGACCGGCGCACGGGUGAGUAACGCGUAUCCAACCUUCCCGCGACCAAGGGAUAACCUGCCGAAAGGCAGACUAAUACCUUAUGUCCUCCUUUGAAGGCAUCUGACGAGGAGCAAAGAUCCGUCGGUCACGGAUGGGGAUGCGUCCGAUUAGCUUGUUGGCGGGGCAACGGCCCACCAAGGCUUCGAUCGGUAGGGGUUCUGAGAGGAAGGCCCCCCACACUGGAACUGAGACACGGUCCAGACUCCUACGGGAGGCAGCAGUGAGGAAUAUUGGUCAAUGGGCGGAAGCCUGAACCAGCCAAGUAGCGUGCAGGACGACGGCCCUACGGGUUGUAAACUGCUUUUAUGCGGGGAUAAAGUUGCCCACGC
rnacentral:rRNA from 1 species